rnacentral:rRNA from 1 species
CCGAUGCGAGCACCUGAUCAGCAUGCCGCGUGUGUGAAGAAGGCCUUCGGGUUGUAAAGCACUUUUGUCCGGAAAGAAAUCGCACUUACUAAUAUUAGGUGUGGAUGACGGUACCGGAAGAAUAAGGACCGGCUAACUACGUGCCAGCAGCCGCGGUAAUACGUAGGGUCCAAGCGUUAAUCGGAAUUACUGGGCGUAAAGCGUGCGCAGGCGGUUGUGCAAGACCGAUGUGAAAUCCCCGGGCUUAACCUGGGAAUUGCAUUGGUGACUGCACGGCUAGAGUGUGUCAGAGGGGGGUAGAAUUCCACGUGUAGCAGUGAAAUGCGUAGAGAUGUGGAGGAAUACCGAUGGCGAAGGCAGCCCCCUGGGAUAACACUGACGCUCAUGCACGAAAGCGUGGGGAGCAAACAGGAUUAGAUACCCUGGUAGUCCACGCCCUAAACGAUGUCAACUAGUUGUUGGGGAUUCAUUUCCUUAGUAACGUAGCUAACGCGUGAAGUUGACCGCCUGGGGAGUACGGUCGCAAGAUUAAAACUCAAAGGAAAUUGACGGA